rnacentral:rRNA from 1 species
GACGAACGCUGGCGGCGUGCUUAACACAUGCAAGUCGAACGCUGAAGCUCAGCUUUUGUUGGGUGGAUGAGUGGCGAACGGGUGAGUAACACGUGAGUAACCUGCCUCCUUCUUUGGGAUAACGCCCGGAAACGGGUGCUAAUACUGGAUAUUCACUGGUCUUCGCAUGGGGGUUGGUGGAAAGGGUUUUUCUGGUGGGGGAUGGGCUCGCGGCCUAUCAGCUUGUUGGUGGGGUGAUGGCCUACCAAGGCUUUGACGGGUAGCCGGCCUGAGAGGGUGACCGGUAACAUGGGGACUGAGAUACGGACCAGACUACUACGGGAGGCAGCAGUGGGGAAAAUGGCACAAUGGGCGCAAGCCUGAUGCAGCGACGCCGCGUGAGGGAUGGAGGCCGUCAGGUUGGGAACCUCUUUCGCUCAUGGUCAAGCCGCAACAAUGGUUGUGGUGAGGGUAGUGGGUAAAGAAGCGCCGGCUAACUACGUG